UAUNGGUCAAUGGGCGGGAGCCUGAACCAGCNAAGUCGCGUGAGGGAAGAAGGUCCUAUGGAUUGUAAACCUCUUUAGGCGGGGAGCAAUGCCGGGCACGCGUGCCCGGAGGGAGAGUACCCGGAGAAAAAGCAUCGGCUAACUCCGUGCCAGCAGCCGCGGUAAUACGGAGGAUGCGAGCGUUAGCCGGAUUUAUUGGGUUUAAAGGGUGCGUAGGCGGGCUGUUAAGUCAGCGGUCAAAUGUCGGGGCUCAACCCCGGCCUGCCGUUGAAACUGGCGGCCUCGAGUGGGCGAGAAGUAUGCGGAAUGCGUGGUGUAGCGGUGAAAUGCGUAGAUAUCACGCAGAACUCCGAUUGCGAAGGCAGCAUACCGGCGCCCUACUGACGCUGAGGCACGAAAGCGUGGGUAUCGAACAGG
rnacentral:rRNA from 1 species